AAAGUUGCCGGGCGGCUGCGGGACCGCUCGGUGAGGGCAGGCGGGAUCGCGCCGCUCGUGCGCUGCUGUGGUGCGGGCAGCGCGCCGGGAGGGCCCCGCACCCCGCGGGCGGGCAGCGGGCCGGCCAUGAUGGCGUGCGCCGAGCUGCUGGCCGUGUGCCUGCUGCCGGCCAAGCCUGGUCCCGAGCUCCGCCGCGAGCCGCUGCCCAUCUUCCACGACAUUUUCCGGCGAGCCGACAAGAACGAUGAUGGGAAACUGUCAUUUGAGGAGUUCAAGAACUAUUUUGCUGAUGGAAUCCUCAGCUCGGAGGAGCUGUGGGAGUUGUUCAGUGGCAUUGACAGGCGUCAUUCAGACAAUGUGGACACAGAGAAGCUGUGUGAUUAUUUCUCAGCGUAUCUUGGGGAGUACAGGAACGUGCUUUCUGCACUGGAAACGCUCAACUCUGCUGUCCUGGCAGCCAUGGACAAAACCAAGCUGAGCUACGAGACCUCCUCCAAGAUGGAGCAGUUCCUGACCCGCUUCCUGCUGCGGGAGACCAUGCACCAGCUGCAGUCCCUGCAGGGCUCACUCGAGUGUGCUGUGGACACCAUGGAGGAGCAGGCGGGACGGGAGAGAAAGGACACACAGAAAUCAGAGACUUUGGUUGGCUUGAGGUCAGGGCGGCGAUGUGGGCGCAGAGGACAGAAGAACAUCUGUCUGUCUCCGACAGACCCCUACUCUGGGAUGCUGACCACAGGCAUUUGUGUGGAAGCUGACAGCCAGUGGAUGGCACAGAUCUCCAGGCUCCAGCAGCUCAUUGAGAAACUGGAGUGCAAGAGCCCACGCCUGGAGCCUCUGAAGGAGGAAGCAACGUGCAAAGGAAGAGAUGAAAGCAUCCUGGUGGCCAAGAAGCAGAUCUCGGUGGCCAAGGGCGGCAUCGAGGAGUUUCGCCAGGCGCUCAGGUCCUACAUGGAGGUCACCACCACGCAGAGCAGCUGCCUGCACGUGUCUGCCUGCAAGCUGACGGACGAGGCCUGCUUCAUCCUCUACGAGUUCUGGCAGGACGCGGCUUCGUGGAGAAGCCACCUGCAGUCCAGUCACAGCAAGGCAUUCCAGCGGGCCACCAUCAGCUUGCUGGAGUCCCCGGAGCUGCUGACCACCAUGCUCUUCCCAGAAAGCUGGCUGCAGAGCAUGUGUCCUCCUGGACCGGUCCCCGGGGCUGCGUCCCAGCUUCAUUUUUAAGGGUGCGGAGAGAGACGUACUGAGGGAAAUGCAUGCUGCCCAUUGUACCCAGAGGAAUCUGACCGUGAACAUCCUGGUGGAUCGUGAACAACAACUGACCCAAGCAGCCGCCCCGGACACCGCUGGCACGCAGAAGGACGCGGAGCCCCUGCCCUGCCACCGCCUGCGCUCCCCUUUGUCACCUCUGCUCCCUGCUCACCUCCUGCAGCCCCGGGGCUGCCUGCCUGGUGGCCCCCAGCAUCGUUUCACCCUUUUGCUCUUUUUGUGUAAUUCAUUGAUUAAUUUAUUUAUUUAUUCCUACUGGAGCGGGUGAGCGUGGCACCGGGUCCCCGCAUGCCCCUGUAGGGCCACCGCAUCCCCUCCACCCGGUGCCACUGCGCCAGUGCGGCUCGUGGCUCCGUGCUGCUGCUGAAUGAACAUAAACAGAACUGGCACGGGCGCAGUGCUGGCCCGGAGAGCGUGUGGCUGUGUCACUGCAUGCUGCGGGUCGGGCAGGGCACGGCGUGCAAGGAGCCAGGACAGCACGCUGGCCAUGUCAGCACUGGGACGGCCGUGUUGUCACGCUGCAUUCCCCGCAGCAGAGCCAGCAGAAACCAGGCUGCUGAGAGCAGCACGCAGUGGGAGCCAGCACGGGCACAGGGGCUGGGCACCGUGCUCACGGCUCUGCAGGGAAGGGGAGGAUGUCACAGCUCCUCGCCUGCCAGGCGCCUGCCCUGCGCUGGCAGCGUGGUGCUCAGCACCGUACCUGGCUCGCCCCUCACCUCUUUUCCCUGCUGGCUUGCACCGGAGCUGUUAAUUUGAAUGUUUCAACCCCAAUCCCCAUUUGUAGUUAUUAAAAUGCCGUCAGCCUGCA